AGUUAAUUUGAAAUUUUCCCGCUAUUUCUACACAGUUUAAUUGCCAACAUGGAAACCGCUAGCGUCAAUUGUUGUCAAGCCAGUGCUGCUGCAGCAAGUGCAUCUUAGGCCUGAAAGUGCAUCUGAUUCUAAAACUCUAUUUAUGUUGAAGCUGGUGACACAUCGUAAUAUCACUGACGGAACAUAUAAAAUACAAUGGAUCCAAGGGGCCCUCCUGAGGGGGGCCCUGGUGACACAUUUGAUAUGUCUAAUAUUGGCAAAGUUGCUGACACUUCGGUAACUUGGCCAAUUGAUAGCCCGAUUAACUCAGGAAUAUUUGAACAACCAAAGAAGAUGAAUAAUAAUAGAUUACUAUUUUUGACCGUUGAAUAUGUUGAAGAUCAAUCAAGAGAUUAUUCCCGCUUAUUCCCAACAUACGAGCAGGUCUCGUUCUCACCCAGACCUUCAUCUCCUCUAUCUGAUUUUGAGCAUCGUGUUAGUCCACUUGAUCCAAAUAUGAGUUCUGCUGCUAGGUAUUCGCCAACUCCGGUUCAAUUAACUCCAUCUCCUUUUCAUAAUUCUGUUGUUAUUCUCCAAGGUCCUUCCUCCCCUUUGAUAUCUACAACUGAAUCCAAUGUAAGAUCAAGUAUCAAUUUUGUGAGUCAAUUGACUCAUCCAAUAGAUGCACAAACUGAUACUGGAACAGAUUUUAUUGACGAAGAAAAUGAAGAAACUUUAGUUUCUAGUGUUGGAAAUGAAUUAAUAUUAAUGCAAGAGUCUAAUGCAGAAUUGGAACAAAGCACAACUCCACUCAUGUUAACAGGUAUAUCAGGUGCAGAUUUUACUUUGACAAGAGAUUAUAUAGUAAUGCAAGAUGAUCAAGUAAAUGUAAUGAAUUCUUUGAAAAAUCCAACUCUUUCAAUGGGAGAUAAUCAUAUCACUAAUGCAUCUGAAAAAAAGGAUAUAACAAAAGAAAGUAAUUCUCAGUCAAUAACAGAAGCCAAUGUGCAAAUGGGUCAAAUUAAUGAAAUAUUAUCUCAUGCAAAUAAAAAAAAAACUAUUGAUAAGAAGAAUACAAAGAAGUCAAAGCAACAGAUGGAUGAUGACAAAAAUUUUUGGUGCGAUGAAUGUGAUGGUAUUUGUACCAAUGAAGAUGGUUGCACUUCUCAUAAUGUAUGUACGAUUGCCGAUCAACCUGUACCAUCACGAGCUAUAGCUACACUGCCAGGAUCAUAUCUUUCUAUAAAUAAAUUAUCUGCUGUGGAUAUUAUACCGGGAGGUUCUGAAUAUGGAGUUUUUGCGAAACGCAAUAUUCGUAGGCGUACACAAUUUGGUCCUAUUGAAGGUAUUUUAUAUGGUUACGAUGGCACACCCUUUGAAAAUGCAUUGCCAUUGCUUUAUGAAGCAGAAGAAGGACAAUUUUUGAAAGUUGAUGUUUCAGAUGAAAAUACUUCAAAUUGGAUGCGUUUUGUGAGGCCUGCACUUACUUAUAAAGAACAGAAUCUAGUGAUUUGUCAACAGAAAGAUGGAAUUGUAUUUUUAACUACAAAAAAUAUUUUACCAAAAGAAGAACUAAGAGCAGGACCUCAUCCUGAUUAUGCAGCACGUAGAAAUUUAAUGGUAUUGAAACCUGAUGUGCGAGAUGACAAAGAACAUAACAACAGUAUGAAUAUUUGGCCAAGAUCAGAUAAUAAUUCUUAUAAUCAUGCAAGACGUAUGAAAUUAUACAGAGGCAGAAAUUUGAAAGAAAAAGAAAAUACAAGACAAAAUAAUUGUAAAGAAUGGAAAUGUUGUACAUGCAAUUUGAUCUUCAAAAAAUUAUCUUUAUUUAAAUUACAUAAUCUAAUGCACAAUCCAGAAGACAAUAAAAUAAAUUGUCAAUCAACAAUUUGUCCACAGUGUGGAUUAGAAUGCCAGAAAAGAUCUGAAUUAAUCAGUCAUGUUUCACAGCAUGGAAGAUUAUCUUUGCCAAAAGGUAAUAAAUUGACUUCAGUGGUUGCUGCAUAUAAGUGCUCAAUGUGUUAUAAACGCUUUGCUACAAAAGUACGACUACAGAAACAUUGUUUGGUGCAUGGUGCCGAGGACCAAAAGCCACUGCCAUGCAGCAUUUGUCUGAAAAGAUUCAUGAAUAAUUCUGCUUUAUCUUGUCAUUUAAAAACGCAUAGAGAAAAUAAACAAGUGUAUGAAUGUCCAAUAUGCAGACAACUCUUUGAUCAAGGUGUGAUGUUAAAAGAUCAUGUCGAGACACAUAGAAAUGGAGAUCAUACAUUUACCUGUCCACAUUGUCAAAGAAAUUUUAUUAAAUAUUCAGUAAUUCGUAAACAUAUAAGAGCUCAUCAUUGUGAAAGAAAACACAAGUGUCAGUUUUGUACAAAGCGUUUCCCUACAAUGGAUAAAUUACAAAUGCAUUUACUUAAACAUUCUGAUCACAGAGAAUUUCACUGUGCUGAUUGUGGAAAACAAUUCAAAAGAAAAGAUAAACUUAAGGAACACAUGACUAGAAUGCAUAAUUUGCAGAAAAUAAAUCAAGAACAAACAGUACAAAAUAAUCAAGCAAAGAAGUUUGUGCCAAAGGUAAACCCAAAUGAUUACAAUCGUUUCAUAUAUAAAUGUCAUCAAUGUCUAGUAGGAUUUAAGCGAAGAGGAAUGCUCGUAAAUCAUUUGGCAAAACGACAUCCAGAUGUUGCCCCAGAGUCUGUCCCCGAAUUAAAUUUACCAAUUUUGCGACAAACGAGAGAUUAUUAUUGUCAAUAUUGUGAUAAGGUAUAUAAAAGCAGCAGUAAACGUAAAGCUCAUAUCAUGAAGAACCAUCCAGGUGCUGCUUUACCACCAAGUAAUCGUCAAAAAGAAUCAGAAUAUUCGAGUCUGCCUAAUCCAACAUUUAGUCAGACAGUUGGUAGUAUUACAACUACACCUCAAGGAUGUCAAUGGUGCCAUAAACAAUAUGCUAGUAAGGCAAAACUUUUGCAACAUCAACGUAAGAAACAUCCGAAUUUAAUGGAACCAGCGGAUCAAAUUCCGCGAUCUAGAAGUCGUCCACCACAAAAUCAAAACCAACCACCUACACUAAGUGAUAACAAUUUCAUGUUAUCAGAUUAUAUUCAAGCAUGCGACGUAGACGGAGAAUUUUUUAAGCAGAGGAUAAUCAAAAUAUCAAAUGAUGUUGAUCUAAUAAGUAACGGUUUGGAGUUGGUUGGACAACAAUUUGUACGUAUGCGUGAUAUACGUUGAAGAAAGAAAUGGCACACCCGCUUUGUCGGGAAUCAUCGCCAAUUUAUCGAGAUAUGAAUCUCGUGACUUUGUGCAUAGUCAAAAAGGCUGUGCUUUUUUGCUGCCGGUACCAAACACAAAGGCAUUGUUUGCCUGACAGAAGUGUGGUAUGGUACUUCUACUUGAGAGUAUUUGGAACGCAGCUUUGUCAGCGCCAGUGCGAAACACUGAGCGCUGUUGUCUCAAUUGUGUGAAUUGCAAUGAUGGUCACUGACGAUGACGACUUCAGUGGAUUUGUUGGAACGAUACAUACACGACUUUAUUACUUUGUCUGAGCCUCGAUACAAAAAAAGCCUAAUGACCUAAAGAGUAAUAAUGAACAAGAAACAGUAAGAUUAUACUUGCAAUAGACGUACUAUUGUCUUGUAUAUUAUUGAAAACUUCAUUCACAAGACAUUAUGGAUAUUGAGCAUCAGAAGGAAUGAUUUUUCAUUUAUUUUACUUACACAAGAUGCAUACAGUAACACACAUUAUUACAAAUGCGAAGACAAAAGAUUGCAUGUUUGUUGAUGUCAUUGAGUACAUGGCAAAUUGUACUGUAAACAUGAUUUAAAUAAAGUUAUUGGAUGAUCGAUAUAUAUAACUGUAUGUGUGAUAUACCUCAUUGAUGAUCUCACCGAAAUCAGAGAAGGAAGUGACACAAUCAUUUUGCUUCUACACGUAUCGUUUCCUUACUCUACCACGUUUCACUGAAUAGUAUGCAGAAACAAAAAAAAAUUAUAAUAAUAAUAAUUAUUAUUAUUAUAUAGCGAUGCGUAGUAAUAAAUUAAAAACAUAUUUGAAUUUAUCGAGAAUUAUAGUUUUAAUCUAAAUAUUUUUAUAAAAAGAAAAAAAAAAGAAAAACAAUCGAUCUAGCCAUCGUAUCAAAUUGUAAUUUAGAUUUUAUUUCAAUAGGCUACUUUAAAACGUUGUAAUUGUAUAAUAACAUAUUGCGUAUAUGUGACAAUAACAAAGUGCACUUGCGUAUUGUAAAAACUAAAAAGAGACAACUAGUUAAAGAUCGUAAAUCUAGUAAGUGAAAUGGCUACGAUUCGUUAACUUAUUUUCUACCUAUUUAUUGAAGUUUUAUUUUCAAAUUUUUCGCUAGCUAUCGCUAAAGGACCAACUGCACCAGGUUUGAACACCGAUGCCUGAUGAUUUGGAGUUGUUGCUAUUGGACCACAACCAUCCUUUUGCAUUUGAGCAGUCUCAUAAAGUUGUUUCUGCAUUACAGCCAAGGAUACUUUAUUUGCAGAGAGGAAAUCUUUCAUGGAGAUCAAUUCCCCAGACAUACGUCUAGAACCAUCGGAAUCGUCUUCCGCAGCUCUAAUCGAAUCUUUACCAACGAGUUUCAUAGACCUACGUUUGGAAUAAUAUAUAGAAGACACGGAUGAUUUUCUUCUAGGUAGAUGAGGCGCAGCAAGAUCUUGAUUACCACAUUCAACAGCCGAUAACAAGGAAGACAAAAUUGGCAAAUCUAUACCUGUAAAAACGUAAAUCAAUUAACAUUGAAAACGUUGA